rnacentral:rRNA from 1 species
GUGGAUAACCUGCCGUAUACCGGGGGAUAACACUUAGAAAUAGGUGCUAAUACCGCAUAAGCGCACGGCUCCGCAUGGGGCAGUGUGAAAAACUCCGGUGGUAUACGAUGGAUCCGCGUCUGAUUAGCUAGUUGGCGGGGUAACGGCCCACCAAGGCAGCGAUCAGUAGCCGGCCUGAGAGGGUGGACGGCCACAUUGGGACUGAGACACGGCCCAAACUCCUACGGGAGGCAGCAGUGGGGAAUAUUGCACAAUGGGGGAAACCCUGAUGCAGCGACGCCGCGUGAGUGAAGAAGUAUCUCGGUACGUAAAGCUCUAUCAGCAGGGAAGAAAAUGACGGUACCUGACUAAGAAGCCCCGGCUAACUACGUGCCAGCAGCCGCGGUAAUACGUAGGGGGCAAGCGUUAUCCGGAUUUACUGGGUGUAAAGGGAGCGUAGACGGCAGCACAAGUCUGGAGUGAAAUCCCGGGGCUUAACCCCGGAACUGCUUUGGAAACUGUGCGGCUGGAGUGCAGGAGGGGUAAGCGGAAUUCCUAGUGUAGCGGUGAAAUGCGUAGAUAUUAGGAGGAACACCGGUGGCGAAGGCGGCUUACUGGACUGUAACUGACGUUGAGGCUCGAAAGCGUGGGGAGCAAACAGGAUUAGAUACCCUGGUAGUCCACGCCGUAAACGAUGAUUACUAGGUGUCGGGGGAUCAAGGUCCUCCGGUGCCGGCGCAAACGCAUUAAGUAAUCCACCUGGGGA